rnacentral:lncRNA from 1 species
GGUCUACCACGCUUAAGACGUGCUUUAGACUCUGUAGCCACUUGAUUGUGUCCAUCUUGGACAUCAAUACUUAUUGGUGCAUUACAAGCUGGUAUAUAGGACUUAGUCACUCUUUUCGGGUCAGCAAAGGAAUCAGGCAAUUGAUUAGCUAGCUUUUGCAUAUGAAUUAUUUUCUGGACUUCUAAAUCACAUGAUUGAGUCCGAGGAUCUUGCCAUGAUAAGGAUGUUUGAUUCCAUACAAUUUCUUUGCCCAGCUUGUUAUUUUCUCCCCCUAAUGUUGGGUACUCUGAUUCAUCAAAAUGACAAUCAGCAUAUCUGGCCUUAAAUAAAUCUCCAGUAGUAGGCUCAAGAUAUUUAAUAAUGGUUGGAGAAUCAAAACCAACAUAUAUUCCCAUCCUCCUUUGAGGUCCCAUUUUUGUUCUCUGUGGUGGAGCAAUAGGGACGUACACAGAACAUCCAAAUGUUUUGAUAUGGGAUACGUCUGGUUCAUGACCCGAGAGUAAUUGGGAUGGAGAAUAUCUAUGUUCACUGGAUGGCCUUAUGCGUAUUAAUUCAGCAGCAUGUAAUACCGCAUGUCCCCAAGCUGACACUGGUAGCUUCGACCUCAUGAGUAAUGGUCGAGCAAUCAACUGGAUUCUUUUAAUGAAGGAUUCGGCCAAUCCGUUCUGUGUAUGUACAUGUGCCACGGAGUGUUCCACACUUACCCCCAUGGACAUACAGUAAUCAUUAAAAGCUUGGGAACUGAAUUCGCUUGCAUUGUCAAGACGUAUAGUCUUUAGUGGGAAAUCUGGAAAAUGGGCUCGCAGUCUUAUGAUCUGUGCCAAUAGUCUUGCCAAUGCUAAGUUUCUAGAUGAUAAUAGACAAACAUGCGACCAUCUGGUCGAUGCGUCAAUGAGGACCAUAAAAUAUCGAAAUGUCCCACAAGGUGGGUGUAUUGGUCCACAUAUAUCACCAUGUAUUCUUUCCAGAAAGUUUAAUGUUUCCUUACUCACCUUUCCAGGUGAUGGCCUUAUUAUUAAUUUCCCUUGUGAGCAUGGAAUACAUGUAAUGCUCAUAGGGAUAGUUAUCCUAUCUUUCAAGGAAUGGCCAGUUGAGCUCGAGAUUAUUUUGCGCAUCAUGGAUCUACCAGGAUGGCCAAGCCUUUCAUGCCAUUGUUUAAAGGCUUCUCUGAACUCAUUAGGAAUUGAAGUGUUAGCCUCACUCGAUUUUAUAUUGGCACAAUAGAGGCCUAUUGAUAUAGCAGGGAUAGUCUCUAGGACUUUCUUAUGGCCUUGGGCAUUUUCAUAAAUCAAGAGGAAUUCUUUCUUUCCCUCGCCCCUAGUUUCAACAUGUAGAUCAUUCAUGCGAAUGUCUUUGAAACUUAACAGAUUUCUCUUUGAUUUAGGAGAAUAUAAUGCAUUAGAGAUUUCUAAAUGCGUGCCUUUAGGCAUCACUAAGUGAGCCGGGCCAUGGCCUUCAAUAAGGCUAGCCGGUCCUGCUAUAGUAUUUAUUUUGGCACUCUUUAAAAUGAGGUUAACAAAAUAUCUUUUGUCUUUUAAUAUAGUGUGACUUGAUCCACUAUCCACUACUAGCUGGUUCUUGUCUUCUUUCAUUUCUGAAAAUAGACAAGAGUCAACACCUUUGAUAUUACUUUAAGGUUUAAAGUAUGUUUUAAUGGCUUUGUUUUAUGUUCUUAAUAAUUUUAACUUUGUAUAAGGCAUAUAUAAAGUAAAAACUUUAUUUCAUAAAUAGAAUUGCCAAAGUCAUAGAACAUGGGGAAACAAAAGACAUAAAGCCAAAUCAAGAAUUCAAAAAUGCAAAGACAAAAGCAAUAUGAUAUCGAAAUCUUCAUAUUCAGCCACUUGUAAGGAGGUCUGAAGUCUCAAAGUCCUCAUGAUCAUCUUUGUCAUGGGCUUGAUCAUCCUCAUGGUCCAGAUCAUUCUCAUCAUCAUAAUGGACCAAAUUUGCCUCAGAGUUCUUGCCCUUUAUGCUCUACUGGUAGAGCUUAACAAGGUGUUGGGGAGUUUUGCAUUUAUUAGCCCAAUGAUUGGUCAUCCCACAACGAUAGCAAGCAGAUUUGGUCGAGCUCGAGCCAUGGGUUUUGAAGUCGGACUUAUACCCAUGGUUAGCUUGAUGACCUCGGCUAUAGCCUCGGCCUCGGCUGCGACCAAGAUGGUCUCGUGGUUGAAAUCCACGGCCACGUGGUUGAAACCCACGGUUACGACCUUGCCAUCUACCACGGCCUCUCAUGCGACCACGGUAUGACUCUCUUGGAGUCUCAUCUUUUGGCUCUACGGCCGCAUGUGCCUCAGGCAAUGCUUUAGCACCAGGAGGCCUUAGCUCACUGUUCAUCAUGAGCAACUCAUUGUUUUGCUCAGCUAGCAACAAACAAGAGAUUAAGGCAGCAUAAGUGGAGAAACCUUUCUCUCGGUACUGUUGCUGAAGCACAACAUUGCUGGUGUGGAAUGUGGAGAAUGUCUUCUCCAACAUAUCAGCAUCAGUAAUAGUCUCACCACAAAGUUUCAACUUUGAGACUAUUUUGAACAAAGCCGAGUUAUACUCUUCCACAGACUUAUAGUCUUGGAUUCUCAGGUUUCUCCAAUCAUAAAGGGCUUUUGGCAAUAUCACAGUUUUCUGAUGAUUAAAUCUGGUUUUCAACUCUGUCCAAAGUUCCAGAGGAUUCUCAAUUGUGAGAUACUGGUCCUUGAGACCUUCAGCAAGGUGAUGGCGAAUGACAACGAUUGCCUUGUAAUUAUCCUUGUCUGAUGGCUCAGUGCCUUCAGUGAUAGUAUCACCAAGGUUUCUGGACCUUAAGAGGAUUUUGGUAUCAAGCUCCCAUUGGAGGUAAUCACCGAGUCCCUUGGAUUUCAGGAUGAUCUUAGCAUCGAGCGCCCACUGAAGGUAAUUGUCUCCAGAUAGAUUUAGGGAAGCAUAUUCAAGGUUGUUGAUUUUCGACAUCUGAAUCAAAUAUCCAUAAAGGAGUAAGGAUUCAUAAUAUAAUUCAAGAUUUGAAUUUAUAUGCCAAGGGGAUUAAUGAAUAAUUCAGGAUUUGAAUUUAUAUGCCAAGGGGAUUGAUGAUUUAUUUAAUGAUGGUUUAUUAUGCAUUUUAUUUUCAGAAAAUAUUUUAGAAAUAUUUUAAGAUGCAUUCAAAUGUUCAAGAUAUUUGUAAACCAAAAUAGAUUUUCAAAAUCGGUUAAAACUUGGUUUAUAAUUUCAAGUAAAGCAAAUAUACUGAAUUUUAAAUGGAAACCGAUUUUGUCUAACUAUAUGCAAACAGUGUGAAUCAUUUAGAUGCAAACAACAUGAACCACUUCAGAUGCACUAGUAUCAUCAUUGCUAAAGCUAUGCGAACAUGUAUUAUUGGUUUCAAUUAUGUGAUACCUAUGUCCAGUUUUAACAAUAUGAUAGUUGGAUGCAUGCAAAGGUCAGUUCAUGGAUGAUUCAAGUUCGAUCUAAUGAUUUACUAAAUGAUGCUAUCAGGUAUGCAAAUGAUCAGUACAUAGUUUUAAUCAUAGAAUCAGGUUCAAGGAUGAAACUAGAUCAAGUUUUAUUUUAACUAGCAAACUAUGUGAUCAAAAUUCAGUAUGAGAUAAAUUCAAUAUGUUGGUUUAGAAAAUAAUUUUCAGUCAAAGAUAUGCACUUAAUAAAAUCGAUUAUGCAUAUAUAAAAUCAUAAAAGGGUUUUUAAAACUUUGAUAGUUACAAAACAAAUAUUAAAAGUCAAGGAUAUGCAAUGAAUGAAACUUUGAUAGUUACAAAACAAAUAUUAAAAGUCAAAGAUAUGCAAUGAAUGAUUUUAAUUUUGAUUUUAUUGGUGGGUUGACUGAUUUUAGAGGAGCUGGCCGAAAAUGGCACAGCAAGGAUUUGAUGGAAUUUUGUUUUGGCCAGAUUAUACACUUAUGUUUAUCACAUCUGGUAAAAUGGCCAAACAAAAGGAUUGAAUCAAAAAGGUUUAAGCUUUCUCUAAUAAUUUUGUGAUUCAUAAGUUUUUAUAAACAAGAUUCAUGUAGAUCUUUAGGUAUUUUGAUAAGUUUAUAAGUUUUAGAGAAACAUAGAACCUUUAGAGAAUUUUAAGAUUUAUGGAUUCAAAAUACUUUUAGAAUCAAGUUUCAUAUGGAUCAUAUGGAUCAUAGAAACAAGAUUAAUAUUUUAAAUCCAUAGAUUGUUUAUAGGUUAUGGAUUCAUAUAGAUCCUAGAUUUCUUUCAAAUAUAAUGGUGUUCUUUAGAUUUCAAGGUUUUGAUAUGUUUACCUUUUUCACCACAAGAAUCUGAGAGGACCACCGUGAGAGUUGGCCGGAAUUUGAGAGAGAGAGGAGUUUCCGGCGGAGAGAGAGAGGUGGUCUGGUGGAGAGAAGACUGAGCGCCUGGUGGAGCAAAGGCUGAGCACCGGAGGAGCUGGCCGGAAAAGAGGAACGCCGGCUGAGAGAGAUUUCUCAGGUGGAGAGCACAAUCGUGCUGAUAACGUGUUAGAAAUAUGAGAGAAGUGUUUGCUGUGAAGUUGUGUCUUUCUCAUUAGCUCACACUAUCAAUAUAUAGUGGAGGUUCCAAGGGUUUACAACAAAGGAGAGGAUCUACACAUUUAAUACAUAUUGACCACAAAGAUAGACUUGGUCAAAGCGCAUAAAUGCUCCGGUUGAAUGGGUCUUCAUCUUGUCUAGUCUCGGACGGAAUGUAGACGGGCCGGAGACGGAUGUAGACGGGCCGGAUAGUCUGGUCGGAUGUAAACCUCCUUGAUGGUUAAUGGCAAUCCACAUAUCCAUUCAAUGGAUUUAUAACACUCCCCCUUGGAUGCCAUAACCAUAUCGGGCUUGUAAUGUGCUACCGUUGCCUCGUUAAAACCUCUCCCGGAAAACCCAAAACCCAAUGUGGUAAAAAGGGAAACCAAGGAAAGGAAAAAGAGUACAACACACAUUACUCCCCCUGAUUUGGACAUCACUGAAGAUCCUUGAGUCUUCGCAUGCCAAUCUGCUGCGUGAGCUUCCUGAAUGUGCUGGUGGGAAGUGACUUGGUGAAGAGGUCGGCUGAGUUCUCACUUGACCGGAUUUGAGUGACGUUGACCUCUUUGGCUUUCUGCAACUCAUGUGUGAAGAAGAACUUGGGUAGUACAUGUUUGGUUCGGUCACCUUUGAUAUACCCAUCUUUGAGUUGAGCAAUGCAGGCUGCAUUAUCCUCAUAUAUGAUGGUCGGACCAUUGUCCUCGACCAUUCCACUAUCUGAUCGGAUGUGUUGGGUCAUAGACUUCAACCAUACACACUCACGACUUGCCUCAUGCAUGGCUAAGAUUUCUGAGUGAUUAGAUGAUGUGGCUGCUAUAGUUUGUUUCAUGGAACGCCAUGAUAUUGCAGUACCACCAUGAGUGAACACAUAACCGGUUUGGGACCGACCAUGGUGUGGAUCAGAUAAGUAGCCUGCAUCAGCAAAGCCUACUAAACCAUCUUUGGUUUCAUUGGUAUAAAAUAGACCCAAAUCCUUAGUUCCUUGAAGGUAACGUAGGAUAUGUUUAAUUCCAUUCCAGUGCCUUUGGGUCGGACAUGAACUAAAACGGGCUAGGAGACUCACGGCAAAACAUAUAUCUGGUCUAGUGUGGCUAGCCAAAUACAGUAACGCUCCUAUGGCACUGAGGUAAGGCACUUCAGGACCCAGGACAUUCUCAUCAUCCUCUUUAGGACGGAAUGGGUCAGUGUCCACUCCAAGGGACCUCACGACCAUUGGGCUGGUCAAUGGGUGAGCCUGGUCCAUGUUAAAUCUCUUGAGUACCUUUUCUUUAUAUGCCUUUUGAUGCACAAGGAUUCCUCCUUUUAUGUACUCAAGUUGUAACCCCAAACAGACUUUAGUUUUACCUAGGUCUUUCAUUUCAAACUCUUUCUUGAGAUAUUCAACUGUUUGGGUGAUUUCCCCAGGGGUUCCAAUGAUGUUCAAAUCAUCAACAUACACUGCUAUGAUAACAAAUCCAUUGUUUGCAAACUUCUUUAUAAAGAUACAUGGACUGAUAGGGUCGUUCUUAUAGCCAACUUUGGCAAGGUAUUCGCUUAAGCGAUUAUACCACAUUCGACCACUUUGCUUAAGUCCAUAUAAGGAUUUGUUCAGCCUUAUGCAGUGUUCUUCUCGAGAACCUUUAUUAGCUUUAAGCUCAACACCCUCUGGUAAUCUCAUAUAUAUUUCAUUAUCCAGUGGACCAUAAAGGUAUGCGGUUACAACAUCCAUUAACCGCAUAUCCAAAUUUUCUUUGAUGGCCAGACUUAUUAAAAAUCGAAAUGUAGUUGCAUCCACCACAGGGGAGUAUGUCUCCUCAUAAUCGAUUCCUGGUAUUUGUGAGAAUCCUUGUGCUACAAGCCGUGCUUUGUAUCUUACAAUAACACCAUGUUCAUUUCUCUUCCUCACAAAUACCCACUUAUAUCCCACUGGUUUAACAUUAUAAGGUGUCCGGAUAAUCGAUCCAAAGACAUUCCUUUUCUUAAAUGAUUCUAACUCCACGUUUAUGGCUUCUUUCCAUUUGAGCCAAUCUGAUCUUUGAGUGCACUCUAGUAUAGACGUGGGUUCAUGAUCCUCAUCUAAGUCCAUCACAUCAAGGGCUACUUGGUAUGCAAAUAUAUCAUUGAUGUCGACAUCUUUCCGGUUCCAUCUUGUCCCAGACAUUAAAUAAUUAAUUGAGAUCUCAUCAUUAGCACCUUCAGUACCAUGAGGCUCGGCGUCCCGAGUCUCAUUGGUUGGUACCUUAGGCAUGGCCAUUUCGGCCUUGUCUGGACAAUCUAUGACAUCGGUUUCUUUCGCACCUUUCUUUAGUUUCCGAGGUCUUUUAUCUUUGGAACCAAUUGGUCUACCACGCUUAAGACGUGCUUUAGACUCUGUAGCCACUUGAUUGUGUCCAUCUUGGACAUCAAUACUUAUUGGUGCAUUACAAGCUGGUAUAUAGGACUUAGUCACUCUUUUCGGGUCAGCAAAGGAAUCAGGCAAUUGAUUAGCUAGCUUUUGCAUAUGAAUUAUUUUCUGGACUUCUAAAUCACAUGAUUGAGUCCGAGGAUCUUGCCAUGAUAAGGAUGUUUGAUUCCAUACAAUUUCUUUGCCCAGCUUGUUAUUUUCUCCCCCUAAUGUUGGGUACUCUGAUUCAUCAAAAUGACAAUCAGCAUAUCUGGCCUUAAAUAAAUCUCCAGUAGUAGGCUCAAGAUAUUUAAUAAUGGUUGGAGAAUCAAAACCAACAUAUAUUCCCAUCCUCCUUUGAGGUCCCAUUUUUGUUCUCUGUGGUGGAGCAGUAGGGACGUACACAGAACAUCCAAAUGUUUUGAUAUGGGAUACGUCUGGUUCAUGACCCGAGAGUAAUUGGGAUGGAGAAUAUCUAUGUUCACUGGAUGGCCUUAUGCGUAUUAAUUCAGCAGCAUGUAAAACCGCAUGUCCCCAAGCUGAUACUGGUAGCUUCGACCUCAUGAGUAAUGGUCGAGCAAUCAACUGGAUUCUUUUAAUGAAGGAUUCGGCCAAUCCGUUCUGUGUAUGUACAUGUGCCACGGAGUGUUCCACACUUACCCCCAUGGACAUACAGUAAUCAUUAAAAGCUUGGGAACUGAAUUCGCUUGCAUUGUCAAGACGUAUAGUCUUUAGUGGGAAAUCUGGAAAAUGGGCUCGCAGUCUUAUGAUCUGUGCCAAUAGUCUUGCCAAUGCUAAGUUUCUAGAUGAUAAUAGACAAACAUGCGACCAUCUGGUCGAUGCGUCAAUGAGGACCAUAAAAUAUCGAAAUGUCCCACAAGGUGGGUGUAUUGGUCCACAUAUAUCACCAUGUAUUCUUUCCAGAAAGUUUAAUGUUUCCUUACUCACCUUUCCAGGUGAUGGCCUUAUUAUUAAUUUCCCUUGUGAGCAUGGAAUACAUGUAAUGCUCAUAGGGAUAGUUAUCCUAUCUUUCAAGGAAUGGCCAGUUGAGCUCGAGAUUAUUUUGCGCAUCAUGGAUCUGCCAGGAUGGCCAAGCCUUUCAUGCCAUUGUUUAAAGGCUUCUCUGAACUCAUUAGGAAUUGAAGUGUUAGCCUCACUCAAUUUUAUAUUGGCACAAUAGAGGCCUAUUGAUAUAGCAGGGAUAGUCUCUAGGACUUUCUUAUGGCCUUGGGUAUUUUCAUAAAUCAAGAGGAAUUCUUUCUUUCCCUCGCCCCUAGUUUCAACAUGUAGAUCAUUCAUGCGAAUGUCUUUGAAACUUAACAGAUUUCUCUUUGAUUUAGGAGAAUAUAAUGCAUUAGAGAUUUCUAUAUGCGUGCCUUUAGGCAUCACUAAGUGAGCCGGGCCAUGGCCUUCAAUAAGGCUGGCCGGUCCUGCUAUAGUAUUUAUUUUGGCACUCUUUAAAAUGAGGUUAACAAAAUAUCUUUUGUCUUUUAAUAUAGUGUGACUUGAUCCACUAUCCACUACUAGCUGGUUCUUGUCUUCUUUCAUUUCUGAAAAUAGACAAGAGUCAACACCUUUGAUAUUACUUUAAGGUUUAAAGUAUGUUUUAAUGGCUUUGUUUUAUGUUCUUAAUAAUUUUAACUUUGUAUAAGGCAUAUAUAAAGUAAAAACUUUAUUUCAUAAAUAGAAUUGCCAAAGUCAUAGAACAAAAGACAUAAAGCCAAAUCAAGAAUUCAAAAUGCAAAGACAAAAGCAAUAUGAUAUCGAAAUCUUCAUAUUCAGCCACUUGUAAGGAGGUCUGAAGUCUCAAAGUCCUCAUGAUCAUCUUUGUCAUGGGCUUGAUCAUCCUCAUGGUCCAGAUCAUUCUCAUCAUCAUAAUGGACCAAAUUUGCCUCAGAGUUCUUGCCCUUUAUGCUCUCCUGGUAGAGCUUAACAAGGUGUUGGGGAGUUUUGCAUUUAUUAGCCCAAUGAUUGGUCAUCCCACAACGAUAGCAAGCAGAUUUGGUCGAGCUCGAGCCAUGGGUUUUGAAGUCGGACUUAUACCCAUGGUUAGCUUGAUGACCUCGGCUAUAGCCUCGGCCUCGGCUGCGACCAAGAUGGUCUCGUGGUUGAAAUCCACGGCCACGUGGUUGAAACCCACGGUUACGACCUUGCCAUCUACCACGGCCUCUCAUGCGACCACGGUAUGACUCUCUUGGAGUCUCAUCUUUUGGCUCUACGGCCGCAUGUGCCUCAGGCAAUGCUUUAGCACCAGGAGGCCUUAGCUCACUGUUCAUCAUGAGCAACUCAUUGUUUUGCUCAGCUAGCAACAAACAAGAGAUUAAGGCAGCAUAAGUGGAGAAACCUUUCUCUCGGUACUGUUGCUGAAGCACAACAUUGCUGGUGUGGAAUGUGGAGAAUGUCUUCUCCAACAUAUCAGCAUCAGUAAUAGUCUCACCACAAAGUUUCAACUUUGAGACUAUUUUGAACAAAGCCGAGUUAUACUCUUCCACAGACUUAUAGUCUUGGAUUCUCAGGUUUCUCCAAUCAUAAAGGGCUUUUGGCAAUAUCACAGUUUUCUGAUGAUUAAAUCUGGUUUUCAACUCUGUCCAAAGUUCCAGAGGAUUCUCAAUUGUGAGAUACUGGUCCUUGAGACCUUCAGCAAGGUGAUGGCGAAUGACAACGAUUGCCUUGUAAUUAUCCUUGUCAGAUGGCUCAGUGCCUUCAGUGAUAGUAUCACCAAGGUUUCUGGACCUUAAGAGGAUUUUGGUAUCAAGCUCCCAUUGGAGGUAAUUAUCUCCGGAGAGAUUGAGGGAAGCAUAUUCAAGGUUGUUGAUUUUCGACAUCUGAAUCAAAUAUCCAUAAAGGAGUAAGGAUUCAUAAUAUAAUUCAAGAUUUGAAUUUAUAUGCCAAGGGGAUUGAUGAUUUAUUUAAUGAUGGUUUAUUAUGCAUUUUAUUUUCAGAAAAUAUUUUAUAUGCAUUAAAAUGUUCAAGAUAUUUGUAAACCAAAAUAGAUUUUCAGAAUCGGUUUAAAACUUGGUUUAGAAUUUCAAAUAAAGCAAAUAUACUGAAUUUUAAAUGGAAACCGAUUUUGGCUAACUAUAUGCAAACAGUGUGAAUCAUUUAGAUGCAAACAACAUGAACCACUUCAGAUGCACUAGUAUCAUCAUUGCUAAAGCUAUGCGAACAUGUAUGAUUGGUUUCAAUUAUGUGAUACCUAUGUCCAGUUUUAACAAUAUGAUAGUUGGAUGCAUGCAAAGGUCAGUUCAUGGAUGAUUCAAGUUCGAUCUAAUGAUUUACUAAAUGAUGCUAUCAGGUAUGCAAAUGAUCAGUACAUAGUUUUAAUCAUAGAAUCAGGUUCAAGGAUGAAACUAGAUCAAAUUUUAUUUUAACUAGCAAACUAUGUGAUCAAAAUUCAGUAUGAGAUAAAUUCAAUAUGUUGGUUUAGAAAAUAAAUUUUCAGUCAAAGAUAUGCACUUAAUAAAAUCGAUUAUGCAUAUAUAAAAUCAUAAAAGGGUUUUUAAAACUUUGAUAGUUACAAAACAAAUAUUAAAAGUCAAGGAUAUGCAAUGAAUGAUUUUAAUUUUGAUUUUAUUGGUGGGUUGACUGAUUUUAGAGGAGCUGGCCGAAAAUGGCACAGCUAGGAUUUGAUGGAAUUUUGUUUUGGCCAGAUUAUACACUUAUGUUUAUCACAUCUGGUAAAAUGGCCAAACAAAAGGAUUGAAUCAAAAGGUUUAAGCUUUCUCUAAUAAUUUUGUGAUUCAUAAGUUUUUAUAAACAAGAUUCAUGUAGAUCUUUAGGUAUUUUGAUAAGUUUAUAAGUUUUAGAGAAACAUAGAACCUUUAGAGAAUUUUAAGUUUUAUGGAUUCAAAAUAGUUUUAGAAUCAAGUUUCAUAUGGAUCAUAUGGAUCAUAGAAACAAGAUUAAUAUUUUAAAUCCAUAAAUUGUUUAUAAGAUAUGGAUUCAUAUAGAUCCUAGAUUUCUUUCAAAUAUAAUGGUGUUCUUUAGAUUUCAAGGUUUUGAUUUGUUUACCUUUUUCACCAUAAGAAUCUGAGAGGACCACCGUGAGAGUUGGCCGGAAUUUGAGAGAGAGAGGAGUUUCCGGCGGAGAGAGAGAGGUGGUCUGGUGGAGAGAAGACUGAGCGCCUGGUGGAGCAAAGGCUGAGCACCGGAGGAGCUGGCCGGAAAAGGGGAUCGCCGGCUGAGAGAGAUUUCUCAGGUGGAGAGCACAAUCGUGCUGAUAACGUGUUAGAAAUAUGAGAGAAGUGUUGCUGUGUAAGUUGUGUCUUUCUCAUUAGCUCACACUAUCAAUAUAUAGUGAGGUUCAUUAGGGUUUACAGCAAGGAGAGAAUCUACACAUUCAAUACAUAUUGACCACAAAGAUAGACUUGGUCAAAGCUCAUAAAUGCUCCGGUUGAAUGGGUCUUCAUCUUGUCUAGUCUCGGACAGAAUGUAGACGGGCCGGAGACGGAUGUAGACGGGCCGGAUAGUCUGGUCGGAUGUAAACCUCCUUGAUGGUUAAUGGCAAUCCACAUAUCCAUUCAAUGGAUUUAUAACACUCCCCCUUGGAUGCCAUAACCAUAUCGGGCUUGUAAUGUGCUAACGUUGCCUCGUUAAAACCUCUCCCGGAAAACCCAAAACCCAAUGUGGUAAAAAGGGAAACCAAGGAAAGGAAAAAGAGUACAACACACAUUACUCCCCCUGAUUUGGACAUCACUGAAGAUCCUUGAGUCUUCGCAUGCCAAUCUGCUGCGUGAGCUUCCUGAAUGUGCUGGUGGGAAGUGACUUGGUGAAGAGGUCGGCUGAGUUCUCACUUGACCGGAUUUGAGUGACGUUGACCUCUUUGGCUUUCUGCAACUCAUGUGUGAAGAAGAACUUGGGUAGUACAUGUUUGGUUCGGUCACCUUUGAUAUACCCAUCUUUGAGUUGAGCAAUGCAGGCUGCAUUAUCCUCAUAUAUGAUGGUCGGACCAUUGUCCUCGACCAUUCCACUAUCUGAUCGGAUGUGUUGGGUCAUAGACCUCAACCAUACACACUCACGACUUGCCUCAUGCAUGGCUAAGAUUUCUGAGUGAUUAGAUGAUGUGGCUGCUAUAGUUUGUUUCAUGGAACGCCAUGAUAUUGCAGUACCACCAUGAGUGAACACAUAACCGGUUUGGGACCGACCAUGGUGUGGAUCAGAUAAGUAGCCUGCAUCAGCAAAGCCUACUAAACCAUCUUUGGUUUCAUUGGUAUAAAAUAGACCCAAAUCCUUAGUUCCUUGAAGGUAACGUAGGAUAUGUUUAAUUCCAUUCCAGUGCCUUUGGGUCGGACAUGAACUAAAACGGGCUAGGAGACUCACGGCAAAACAUAUAUCUGGUCUAGUGUGGCUAGCCAAAUACAGUAACGCUCCUAUGGCACUGAGGUAAGGCACUUCAGGACCCAGGACAUUCUCAUCAUCCUCUUUAGGACGGAAUGGGUCAGUGUCCACUCCAAGGGACCUCACGACCAUUGGGCUGGUCAAUGGGUGAGCCUGGUCCAUGUUAAAUCUCUUGAGUACCUUUUCUUUAUAUGCCUUUUGAUGCACAAGGAUUCCUCCUUUUAUGUACUCAAGUUGUAACCCCAAACAGACUUUAGUUUUACCUAGGUCUUUCAUUUCAAACUCUUUCUUGAGAUAUUCAACUGUUUGGGUGAUUUCCCCAGGGGUUCCAAUGAUGUUCAAAUCAUCAACAUACACUGCUAUGAUAACAAAUCCAUUGUUUGCAAACUUCUUUAUAAAGAUACAUGGACUGAUAGGGUCGUUCUUAUAGCCAACUUUGGCAAGGUAUUCGCUUAAGCGAUUAUACCACAUUCGACCACUUUGCUUAAGUCCAUAUAAGGAUUUGUUCAGCCUUAUGCAGUGUUCUUCUCGAGAACCUUUAUUAGCUUUAAGCUCAACACCCUCUGGUAAUCUCAUAUAUAUUUCAUUAUCCAGUGGACCAUAAAGGUAUGCGGUUACAACAUCCAUUAACCGCAUAUCCAAAUUUUCUUUGAUGGCCAGACUUAUUAAAAAUCGAAAUGUAGUUGCAUCCACCACAGGGGAGUAUGUCUCCUCAUAAUCGAUUCCUGGUAUUUGUGAGAAUCCUUGUGCUACAAGCCGUGCUUUGUAUCUUACAAUAACACCAUGUUCAUUUCUCUUCCUCACAAAUACCCACUUAUAUCCCACUGGUUUAACAUUAUAAGGUGUCCGGAUAAUCGAUCCAAAGACAUUCCUUUUCUUAAAUGAUUCUAACUCCACGUUUAUGGCUUCUUUCCAUUUGAGCCAAUCUGAUCUUUGAGUGCACUCUAGUAUAGACGUGGGUUCAUGAUCCUCAUCUAAGUCCAUCACAUCAAGGGCUACUUGGUAUGCAAAUAUAUCAUUGAUGUCGACAUCUUUCCGGUUCCAUCUUGUCCCAGACAUUAAAUAAUUAAUUGAGAUCUCAUCAUUAGCACCUUCAGUACCAUGAGGCUCGGCGUCCCGAGUCUCAUUGGUUGGUACCUUAGGCAUGGCCAUUUCGGCCUUGUCUGGACAAUCUAUGACAUCGGUUUCUUUCGCACCUUUCUUUAGUUUCCGAGGUCUUUUAUCUUUGGAACCAAUUGGUCUACCACGCUUAAGACGUGCUUUAGACUCUGUAGCCACUUGAUUGUGUCCAUCUUGGACAUCAAUACUUAUUGGUGCAUUACAAGCUGGUAUAUAGGACUUAGUCACUCUUUUCGGGUCAGCAAAGGAAUCAGGCAAUUGAUUAGCUAGCUUUUGCAUAUGAAUUAUUUUCUGGACUUCUAAAUCACAUGAUUGAGUCCGAGGAUCUUGCCAUGAUAAGGAUGUUUGAUUCCAUACAAUUUCUUUGCCCAGCUUGUUAUUUUCUCCCCCUAAUGUUGGGUACUCUGAUUCAUCAAAAUGACAAUCAGCAUAUCUGGCCUUAAAUAAAUCUCCAGUAGUAGGCUCAAGAUAUUUAAUAAUGGUUGGAGAAUCAAAACCAACAUAUAUUCCCAUCCUCCUUUGAGGUCCCAUUUUUGUUCUCUGUGGUGGAGCAGUAGGGACGUACACAGAACAUCCAAAUGUUUUGAUAUGGGAUACGUCUGGUUCAUGACCCGAGAGUAAUUGGGAUGGAGAAUAUCUAUGUUCACUGGAUGGCCUUAUGCGUAUUAAUUCAGCAGCAUGUAAAACCGCAUGUCCCCAAGCUGAUACUGGUAGCUUCGACCUCAUGAGUAAUGGUCGAGCAAUCAACUGGAUUCUUUUAAUGAAGGAUUCGGCCAAUCCGUUCUGUGUAUGUACAUGUGCCACGGAGUGUUCCACACUUACCCCCAUGGACAUACAGUAAUCAUUAAAAGCUUGGGAACUGAAUUCGCUUGCAUUGUCAAGACGUAUAGUCUUUAGUGGGAAAUCUGGAAAAUGGGCUCGCAGUCUUAUGAUCUGUGCCAAUAGUCUUGCCAAUGCUAAGUUUCUAGAUGAUAAUAGACAAACAUGCGACCAUCUGGUCGAUGCGUCAAUGAGGACCAUAAAAUAUCGAAAUGUCCCACAAGGUGGGUGUAUUGGUCCACAUAUAUCACCAUGUAUUCUUUCCAGAAAGUUUAAUGUUUCCUUACUCACCUUUCCAGGUGAUGGCCUUAUUAUUAAUUUCCCUUGUGAGCAUGGAAUACAUGUAAUGCUCAUAGGGAUAGUUAUCCUAUCUUUCAAGGAAUGGCCAGUUGAGCUCGAGAUUAUUUUGCGCAUCAUGGAUCUGCCAGGAUGGCCAAGCCUUUCAUGCCAUUGUUUAAAGGCUUCUCUGAACUCAUUAGGAAUUGAAGUGUUAGCCUCACUCAAUUUUAUAUUGGCACAAUAGAGGCCUAUUGAUAUAGCAGGGAUAGUCUCUAGGACUUUCUUAUGGCCUUGGGUAUUUUCAUAAAUCAAGAGGAAUUCUUUCUUUCCCUCGCCCCUAGUUUCAACAUGUAGAUCAUUCAUGCGAAUGUCUUUGAAACUUAACAGAUUUCUCUUUGAUUUAGGAGAAUAUAAUGCAUUAGAGAUUUCUAUAUGCGUGCCUUUAGGCAUCACUAAGUGAGCCGGGCCAUGGCCUUCAAUAAGGCUGGCCGGUCCUGCUAUAGUAUUUAUUUUGGCACUCUUUAAAAUGAGGUUAACAAAAUAUCUUUUGUCUUUUAAUAUAGUGCGACUUGAUCCACUAUCCACUACUAGCUGGUUCUUGUCUUCUUUCAUUUCUGAAAAUAGACAAGAGUCAACACCUUUGAUAUUACUUUAAGGUUUAAAGUAUGUUUUAAUGGCUUUGUUUUAUGUUCUUAAUAAUUUUAACUUUGUAUAAGGCAUAUAUAAAGUAAAAACUUUAUUUCAUAAAUAGAAUUGCCAAAGUCAUAGAACAAAAGACAUAAAGCCAAAUCAAGAAUUCAAAAUGCAAAGACAAAAGCAAUAUGAUAUCGAAAUCUUCAUAUUCAGCCACUUGUAAGGAGGUCUGAAGUCUCAAAGUCCUCAUGAUCAUCUUUGUCAUGGGCUUGAUCAUCCUCAUGGUCCAGAUCAUUCUCAUCAUCAUAAUGGACCAAAUUUGCCUCAGAGUUCUUGCCCUUUAUGCUCUCCUGGUAGAGCUUAACAAGGUGUUGGGGAGUUUUGCAUUUAUUAGCCCAAUGAUUGGUCAUCCCACAACGAUAGCAAGCAGAUUUGGUCGAGCUCGAGCCAUGGGUUUUGAAGUCGGACUUAUACCCAUGGUUAGCUUGAUGACCUCGGCUAUAGCCUCGGCCUCGGCUGCGACCAAGAUGGUCUCGUGGUUGAAAUCCACGGCCACGUGGUUGAAACCCACGGUUACGACCUUGCCAUCUACCACGGCCUCUCAUGCGACCACGGUAUGACUCUCUUGGAGUCUCAUCUUUUGGCUCUACGGCCGCAUGUGCCUCAGGCAAUGCUUUAGCACCAGGAGGCCUUAGCUCACUGUUCAUCAUGAGCAACUCAUUGUUUUGCUCAGCUAGCAACAAACAAGAGAUUAAGGCAGCAUAAGUGGAGAAACCUUUCUCUCGGUACUGUUGCUGAAGCACAACAUUGCUGGUGUGGAAUGUGGAGAAUGUCUUCUCCAACAUAUCAGCAUCAGUAAUAGUCUCACCACAAAGUUUCAACUUUGAGACUAUUUUGAACAAAGCCGAGUUAUACUCUUCCACAGACUUAUAGUCUUGGAUUCUCAGGUUUCUCCAAUCAUAAAGGGCUUUUGGCAAUAUCACAGUUUUCUGAUGAUUAAAUCUGGUUUUCAACUCUGUCCAAAGUUCCAGAGGAUUCUCAAUUGUGAGAUACUGGUCCUUGAGACCUUCAGCAAGGUGAUGGCGAAUGACAACGAUUGCCUUGUAAUUAUCCUUGUCAGAUGGCUCAGUGCCUUCAGUGAUAGUAUCACCAAGGUUUCUGGACCUUAAGAGGAUUUUGGUAUCAAGCUCCCAUUGGAGGUAAUUAUCUCCGGAGAGAUUGAGGGAAGCAUAUUCAAGGUUGUUGAUUUUCGACAUCUGAAUCAAAUAUCCAUAAAGGAGUAAGGAUUCAUAAUAUAAUUCAAGAUUUGAAUUUAUAUGCCAAGGGGAUUGAUGAUUUAUUUAAUGAUGGUUUAUUAUGCAUUUUAUUUUCAGAAAAUAUUUUAUAUGCAUUAAAAUGUUCAAGAUAUUUGUAAACCAAAAUAGAUUUUCAGAAUCGGUUUAAAACUUGGUUUAGAAUUUCAAAUAAAGCAAAUAUACUGAAUUUUAAAUGGAAACCGAUUUUGGCUAACUAUAUGCAAACAGUGUGAAUCAUUUAGAUGCAAACAACAUGAACCACUUCAGAUGCACUAGUAUCAUCAUUGCUAAAGCUAUGCGAACAUGUAUGAUUGGUUUCAAUUAUGUGAUACCUAUGUCCAGUUUUAACAAUAUGAUAGUUGGAUGCAUGCAAAGGUCAGUUCAUGGAUGAUUCAAGUUCGAUCUAAUGAUUUACUAAAUGAUGCUAUCAGGUAUGCAAAUGAUCAGUACAUAGUUUUAAUCAUAGAAUCAGGUUCAAGGAUGAAACUAGAUCAAAUUUUAUUUUAACUAGCAAACUAUGUGAUCAAAAUUCAGUAUGAGAUAAAUUCAAUAUGUUGGUUUAGAAAAUAAAUUUUCAGUCAAAGAUAUGCACUUAAUAAAAUCGAUUAUGCAUAUAUAAAAUCAUAAAAGGGUUUUUAAAACUUUGAUAGUUACAAAACAAAUAUUAAAAGUCAAGGAUAUGCAAUGAAUGAUUUUAAUUUUGAUUUUAUUGGUGGGUUGACUGAUUUUAGAGGAGCUGGCCGAAAAUGGCACAGCUAGGAUUUGAUGGAAUUUUGUUUUGGCCAGAUUAUACACUUAUGUUUAUCACAUCUGGUAAAAUGGCCAAACAAAAGGAUUGAAUCAAAAGGUUUAAGCUUUCUCUAAUAAUUUUGUGAUUCAUAAGUUUUUAUAAACAAGAUUCAUGUAGAUCUUUAGGUAUUUUGAUAAGUUUAUAAGUUUUAGAGAAACAUAGAACCUUUAGAGAAUUUUAAGUUUUAUGGAUUCAAAAUAGUUUUAGAAUCAAGUUUCAUAUGGAUCAUAUGGAUCAUAGAAACAAGAUUAAUAUUUUAAAUCCAUAAAUUGUUUAUAAGAUAUGGAUUCAUAUAGAUCCUAGAUUUCUUUCAAAUAUAAUGGUGUUCUUUAGAUUUCAAGGUUUUGAUUUGUUUACCUUUUUCACCAUAAGAAUCUGAGAGGACCACCGUGAGAGUUGGCCGGAAUUUGAGAGAGAGAGGAGUUUCCGGCGGAGAGAGAGAGGUGGUCUGGUGGAGAGAAGACUGAGCGCCUGGUGGAGCAAAGGCUGAGCACCGGAGGAGCUGGCCGGAAAAGGGGAUCGCCGGCUGAGAGAGAUUUCUCAGGUGGAGAGCACACGGGGAAAGAAGACCCUGUUGAGCUUGACUCUAGUCCGACUUUGUGAAAUGACUUGAGAGGUGUAGAAUAAGUGGGAGCUCCGGCGCAAGUGAAAUACCACUG